AUACGUAGGGGGCAAGCGUUAUCCGGAAUUAUUGGGCGUAAAGAGUGCGUAGGUGGUUCUACAAGCCUUGGGUGAAAGGCUACGGCUCAACCGUAGUAAGCCUUGGGAACUGUAGGACUUGAGUGCAGGAGAGGAGAGUGGAAUUCCUAGUGUAGCGGUGAAAUGCGUAGAUAUUAGGAGGAACACCAGUGGCGAAGGCGACUCUCUGGACUGUUACUGACGCUGAGGCACGAAAGCGUGGGGAGCGAACAGGAUUAGAUACCCUGGUAGUCCACGCCGUAAACGAUGAGUACUAGGUGUCGGGGUCGCGAGGCUUCGGUGCCGUAGCUAACGCAUUAAGUACUCCGCCUGGGGAGUACGCACGCAAGUGUGAA
rnacentral:rRNA from 1 species